UGGGCUUUCGACAGCUGGCGAGGCGGGCCCGGAGGCGCGGAGAGCUCCGCGCUCGGCCACCAUGGGCAGCGCGGGCGCGGAGGACACGGACCACGUAUUUGAAUUCACAACACAGAAGCUCUUGUCCAAUGAAGACUCCAGGCUUAUGUAUUUGCUACGGAUAAAAUCUUAUUUUUGCAAUUCAUUGCGUGUCGGAAGGCUGGACGUGUCACUGCUCGGCUGCUGCUUCUUCACAGGGGAGUGCUGUUUAUGUGGAAAAGUGUUGCUUGCACCCUGAGUUACCAUGCUGCAAAAACACUGUGUGGGGGCUCUCUUUGCAGAGCCGUGAGCCAUGCCUUCAUUUGCUGAGCAUCCAUGCCCUGGCAUUCCUACCUUCACCUCCCUGUAUGUUGUCUUAGAACCCGUACCCUGAGGAGACAAUGUUCUCCCCAGCAAUUUAGAGAAUACAGGCAUGCAGUGAGCACGAGUAUGACAGGUCAGCUGUGCAGUCACAGCGCUCCUUUUGCAGCAUUUCUGGCCACGUGGUGUUAACUCAGGUAGCUCAGACUCUGAAGAGAAUUCCAUGUUCAUGCUGAUUUCUAUUUCUAGUCUAUUUUAUAGGACUUCUCCAUUGUUAAUCUUUUCAUCUUACCACCUUCUAUGACCAAUUUCUGUAACAGCAUUUCUGGAACACUGUUUAGUUUCCCUGAACAGAUAGUUAAGUGCAAAUGAGGCGCUUCCAAAGCUCCCAGAGAAAGGCUGUUUGUAGGUCCCUUUUCAAGUUAGGUUUGCUGUUACUUAAGCACAAGCUCGGGACUGAAGCUAUUCGAAGUACUUGCAGAAUGACCACAUCCAUGAACAAGCAUCUGGGCUGCAGACAUCCAAGAAGAGAACAGAUGGCCACUGAUUUGGUCCAUUUUGUUACAAACUAUCAUUUAGGAAGUGAGUCUUCAGGCACCCAAGGCUUAAUUGCACCAAGAGGAUGAAUGGUCCCAGCUUGAGACCUUGUACAGAUAGUCAUUUCCAGUACUGAGCCAUUAGAAAAAAAUCCUGAAGGGGGUUCUGUGAGAGAAGGACUGGAACCCAAAACCCAAGGAUGAUUAUCCUGGUUACUUUCUUGAUCUUCUCAAGUCUCUCUGUAAACAUGAGACUAAAGGCUAGGUCUGAAAAAAGUGACACCCUGUCACUCCAAACCACCAAAUAGCUGGGGCUGGUAUCUUCAGUCAACACCAAACACUGACAGAGUUGGGCUGGUGAUUCUGCUAGAACAAGAAUUUCAACAUCUUCCUUCCAGCUGCCUCACAAUACCUAGUACCCAUGGUGUUUCCCUUCAUCCCCCCAUAGGUGCAGCCAGCACUCCCAGCUCAUACCUCUGUGUUUCUUAGCUCAGUGCUAAGCUGUACUCCUCAUUCCUAUUUUCUUUAGGACUCUGAUUGUUUCUUCUGGCCUCAGAAGGACUUCCAAUGGCCUUUUAUUUCACAGCAGGAUGUUAAGGAGCCUUUCUUUUUGCCAGUGUUUAUAUGGGUAGCAAAUCAAAGGAGGAGAGGAGUCCUGACCUGUAAAAAAAGAUUGAGAUCAGUCUGGGGUCAGCCCCCACAAAAUGGCUCUGCAGAUCCUAACUGAUACAAUGCUUGUCCCCAUGAAGCUGUCCUGAAGGCUAUCUUUGAGCAUUUUGGGAUCCAGGCCAGGUUAGUUAGUAUUCAGAGUCUUCUGGUUCAGGACUUGGACAGAUACACUGCAGCAAAUGGCAGGGUGUCUGACUGCCUGGGAGAGGACAUCUGACCUGCGUGCAGCACUAAAAUGUGAAAGCAAUAAAAGGUACUCAAGGUCAGUCUUGGUACCACGGUUUUGGGGAUACAUAAUUAGAACAAAAAUUCCUGUGAACUUUAAGGCUUCAAUUACAAAUUCUGAAAUUCAGGACAAGGAAGAGAAGAACACAAAGCUGCACAUUAGAGUUUCCCAGAAGCAAUCCUCCCCAAGCAAAAUACAGUUCUCUCAUGCGGCUUUUUCCAGCAAACUUUUGUUAAAUAAGACUAAGAUAUCAAUUUCUCCAUGUUUCAGCAUAAAUCAAGCUUUGCACAGAGAUCUGUCCCAUAAUGUCUCCUGACAAGCACAUAAUCUACAAACAAAUCCCAUCUAAUUCCAGUGUGUAAGCUGCAAAAUUAGUAAGACUGGAAGUCAUAUUCUUGGAAAAUUACUCUGUGUGGUGAAGAAAUGUUAUGUCAAAUACAAAGGUAUUUGUCUGGACUCAACUCAGAUUCAGGGUUCUCCAUGGCCAGCCUAUCCCUAACAUUUUUCUCAAUGUCUUUCAAGAGAACAACUGGGUUUUUUGGGUCUGGCUUUUCCAGGUAGUGACUAUUUAUCAUUUUCCUGUAUAAGCCUUGUUCCUAAUUUUUAUAGCCCAGUGCCCUAGGACUUUGGGAAAGUAUUUUUUUUUCCUUGACUGGCUUUUGCUCAAAUCAACUGAUUUCUAACAUAAAUUUGUGAUAUUGAACUUUCUUUGAUUUUUUUUUUCCUGCAGAAGGUCAAACUUAAUAGAAAAAUUGGAAGUAUGCCCAAUGAAAAUCCAUACAGCAGGUGGGCUUUACCUAUGAUGUAUUUUCAGAAAAUAAAUAUUGCUUGUUGUUGACAUUAUUUCUAAUUCCCAUAGGCUAUAUCUGGAUCUUUCUUCCAUCCUAACAGGAAUUAAAACAAAAUGACUCAAAGAGCAGAAUACAAUGCAAAACAAGGAAGGAUCUCAUACACAGCUCUACAGACUAAACAGAAUAUUGGUUGCUGUGCUCUGGCAAAUGUGUAAACACUAAAAGGAAACAUUAUUUAAUAUCUACUAUACUGAAGUUUAUUGCAAAAAAGAAAUACGUGGUUUUUGCCCUUUUGAUCUUUGUUCUAAAAUUUUUGUUCUUUAGGAUAAUAGUCAAAAAUCCCACAAAUUUUGAAGUGAGAAAGGAGACACCAAACAAAAUAGAAAUUCUGUUCAUUUCUAUCUGCUCGGGAAUAUCAAAAGUUAUUUCUACUUUUUCUGUUGUUUUUACUUGUAGGCUGACUCAGAGUAUGGCUCUCUCAGCCAUGACUGCAGUACACAGUAAAGAUACUGGACCUCCCUUUAACCUGGCCUAGCAGUGCAGGUACCUGAAGCAGUGUAGCCAUGGCAGCACAGAGCUCUGAGUGGCCUGAUUACUCUGCCAAGAAAUAAAUUGAUAGUGGCAAUUCCCUGGGGAAAAAGAGGUUGAAUCGUUAACAAAAAGAGUUUCCCCUCAGGCACGUUCGUUAAAUAGGUGUUAGCAAGAGCCAGAAAACCUCAAGUUCUAACUUUAGAAUAAAAAUGUCUUUGUCCUUUGGCACUUUUGAUGUCCUAGUCCUUCCAAUUCUCCCACUCUCUGUAGAUACAAAAGAAAGAUGUGAUUCCAAUAUCUGAUGGAAAACCUAAAUUAAAGCCAAAUGAUCCCCACACAACCAAAAUCUAUACAUAAGAUCUCCUUAAAAAGACAAAUUU